GCAGAAUUCGCCCUUAGAGUUUGAUCAUGGCUCAGGAUGAACGCUAGCGGCAGGCUUAACACAUGCAAGUCGAGGGGCAGCGUGGAGGAGUGCUUGCACUUCUCUGACGGCGACCGGCGCACGGGUGAGUAACACGUAUGCAACCUGCCCUCUUCAGGGGGACAACCUUUCGAAAGGGAGGCUAAUCCCGCGUAUAUCCCCCGGGGGCAUCCCCGGGGGAGGAAAGAAUCAUCGGAAGAGGAUGGGCAUGCGGCGCAUUAGCCAGACGGCGGGGUAACGGCCCACCGUAGCGACGAUGCGUAGGGGUUCUGAGAGGAAGGUCCCCCACAUUGGUACUGAGACACGGACCAAACUCCUACGGGAGGCAGCAGUGAGGAAUAUUGGUCAAUGGGAGCGAUCCUGAACCAGCCAAGCCGCGUGAGGGAAGACGGCCCUACGGGUUGUAAACCUCUUUUGUCGGAGAACAAAACCGCGUACGCGUACGAGGCUGAGUGUAUCCGAAGAAAAAGCAUCGGCUAACUCCGUGCCAGCAGCCGCGGUAAUACGGAGGAUGCGAGCGUUAUCCGGAUUUAUUGGGUUUAAAGGGUGCGUAGGCGGGCUGUUAAGUCAGCGGUAAAAUAUCGGGGCUCAACCCCGUUUAGCCGUUGAAACUGGCGGUCUUGAGACGGUGAGAGGUACGCGGAAUGCGCGGUGUAGCGGUGAAAUGCAUAGAUAUCGCGCAGAACUCCGAUUGCGAAGGCAGCGUACCGGUGCCGAUCUGACGCUGAGGCACGAAAGCGUGGGGAUCGAACAGGAUUAGAUACCCUGGUAGUCCACGCAGUAAACGAUGAAUGCUGGUUGUCCGGUCCGAAUGAGGACUGGGCGGCGAAGCGAAAGCGAUAAGCAUUCCACCUGGGGAGUACGCCGGCAACGGUGAAACUCAAAGGAAUUGACGGGGGCCCGCACAAGCGGAGGAACAUGUGGUUUAAUUCGAUGAUACGCGAGGAACCUUACCCGGGCUCAAACGGGACAGGACAGGUGCAGAGACGCAUCUUUCUUAGGACCUGUUCCGAGGUGCUGCAUGGUUGUCGUCAGCUCGUGCCGUGAGGUGUCGGCUUAAGUGCCAUAACGAGCGCAACCCCUGCCGGCAGUUGCUAACGGUCAAAGCCGAGGACUCUGCCGGGACUGCCGCCGCAAGGCGUGAGGAAGGCGGGGAUGACGUCAAAUCAGCACGGCCCUUACGUCCGGGGCGACACACGUGUUACAAUGGUCGGUACAGCGGGAAGCCAGGCGGAGACGCCGCGCGGAACCCGAAAGCCGGUCUCAGUUCGGAUCGGAGUCUGCAACCCGACUCCGUGAAGCUGGAUUCGCUAGUAAUCGCGCAUCAGCCAUGGCGCGGUGAAUACGUUCCCGGGCCUUGUACACACCGCCCGUCAAGCCAUGGGAGCCGAGGGCGCUUGAAGUACGUCGCCGAAAGGCGCGUCCUAGAGCGAAAUCGGUGACUGGGGCUAAGUNGUAACAANGUAGCCGUAAAGG
rnacentral:rRNA from 1 species